rnacentral:rRNA from 1 species
ACCUACGGGACGCAGCAGUGAGGAAUAUUGGUCAAUGGGCGGUAGCCUGAACCAGCCAAGUAGCGUGAAGGAUGAAGUAUUUCGGUAUGUAAAGCUCUAUCAGCAGGGAAGAAAAUGACGGUACCUGACUAAGAAGCCCCGGCUAACUACGUGCCAGCAGCCGCGGUAAUACGUAGGGGGCAAGCGUUAUCCGGAUUUACUGGGUGUAAAGGGAGCGUAGACGGCAGUGCAAGUCUGAAGUGAAAGGCAAGGGCUCAACCCUUGGACUGCUUGGGAAACUGUGCUGCUGGAGUGUCGGAGAGGCA